rnacentral:misc_RNA from 1 species
UCGUUGCCUUCGAACAUGACCAGUGAACAUGUAACACAAAGCUACCGGGGAGGAGCUUUCUCCUCGGCCCCACCGGCCCUGGCCCUUCGGCCGGGUGUCGGAAUACGGCGCGGAAUGUCGCCAAGGAACACUGAUUUGCUGAGGCAGACGGCAAUAUGCUUGUGCUGCUGAGGCCAACAAAAC